GGAGGGGUGGCCGAGUGGUUGAAGGCGCUCGCCUGGAAAGCGGGUAAACCGGAAACGGUUUCGUGAGUUCGAAUCUCAUCCCCUCCGCCA
rnacentral:tRNA from 1 species